GGAGAGACUGUGGCUCAGUAAUAGAGCAUCUGCUUGGUACGCAGAAGAUUCCAGGUUCAAUCCCCAGCAUCUCCA
rnacentral:tRNA from 1 species